rnacentral:rRNA from 1 species
UACAGAGGUCUCGAGCGUUGUUCGGAUUCAUUGGGCGUAAAGGGUGCGUAGGUGGCGCUGUAAGUCGGGUGUGAAAUCCUGAGGCUUAACCUCGGAACUGCAUUCGAUACUGCGGUGCUUGAGGACUGGAGAGGAGACUGGAAUUCAUGGUGUAGCAGUGAAAUGCGUAGAGAUCAUGAGGAAGACCAGUGGCGAAGGCGGGUCUCUGGGCAGUAACUGACGCUGAGGAGCGAAAGCGUGGGGAGCGAACAGG